rnacentral:tRNA from 1 species
GGUGGCUCAGUGGUAGAGUGCUUGCCUUGCAUGCAUGAAGCCCUGGGUUCAAUUCUCAGCACCA